GCUAGCACCAUUUCAGUACUGUGUAGUAUGUUCUCAUCAACUAAAGAACUACUUAACCUCUGACUCAGUAAUUAACAACAUUCAGGAAUAGUCUCUAACACCGGUUUCCAGUGAUCAUGCUUGUUUGCAAUUUCAUGGUCUCUGGCUUUUAUUAACCGAUAAAGAACUUGUUCUGCAGAACCUAAUUCAUUCGUCGUCUUCUUCUUCAUCUGCUUCUGUGGUUCUUGAUUAUUACUACUAUUUUGAAUAGCUCCCAAUAAUUCAGCCAGCUCUGACUUUGAAAUCUUUAAUGUUACCUUCCCACUUGCAUCUCCAGAAGCUCUAAGCCUUUCUAAUAGAUCAUUCUCUUUCUGAGGAUGAUCAAGAUGAGCUUCAUCAAACACCUUACUUGAUGAUGAACGACAUGCCUUUGGCUUAGACGACUUCAAAGAUCCCCAGUCUUCUCCACCAAACUCCAUUGAAGGUGCUGCCCUGCAACAGUUUCCCAUUUUCUUGAUUACACUGAAGAAUUAAUUAGUUUGAAAAUACUUAGUGUACUCUCUUAGUCUUAGAUGUUAUGUAGUAUUAUUAGAAUAUAUGAUCAAAGUUUGAAGUGGUGGAGAUUUAAUUCGAUAUAUGUAUUUAUAGAGAUGAAGGGAAAAUUUAAGAUAUGGUUAGCUUAGCCGUAAAGGGUGUGUGUGUGGGGUGACAUUAAUUUGUUGACCAUAUAGUACAUUAGCUUAGCCGUGUAAUAAAUGUGUGAAAUGAAGCAAGAGAGAGAGGGGUAACUACUGAUUAGUACCACCUUUAGGACUGUCUAAUACUACCAAGUGCUGCUAAGUCCUAGUCCCCACACUCAUGUGAAUAUGAACGCCACACAAUCAUAUUCUCUUUCCGUUUUAAAAUGAAUGUCAUUUUAAAUUUUCAAUACAACUUUAAUUUUUCU
rnacentral:lncRNA from 1 species